GACGAAGGGGGCUAGCGUUGUUCGGAAUUACUGGGCGUAAAGCGAGUGUAGGUGGUUGUCAUAGUCAGGCGUGAAAGCCUUGAGCUCAACUCAAGAAAUGCGCUUGAUACUGGGCAGCUAGAGGACCGGAGAGGAUAGUGGAAUUCCCAGUGUAGUGGUGAAAAUACGUAGAGAUUGGGAAGAACACCAGUGGCGAAGGCGGCUCACUGGCCCGGAACUGACGCUCAUGAGCGAAAGCGUGGGGAGCAAACAGGGAUUAAGAAACCCGAG
rnacentral:rRNA from 1 species